rnacentral:lncRNA from 1 species
UUUUAAAAAUGGACAGUGUGGGGGCUCGUCUGAUUUGGAGGGGAAAAAGAUCUCUCCCCUCUGAGCUUCAGUUUGGACCUCGGUACCUCCAGGAGCAGCUGAUCAGCUGACCUGAGGCACCGAGUGAACAGGGGUGUAGGGGUGGAGAAGCUCAGAGAGGUAAGAUGGAGUCAGACCAUUUAAAGAUUUAAAAACAAAUAAAAGAAUCUUAAAAUGAACUCUAAAGUGCACAGGUAACCAGUGGAGGGAGGCCAGGAUGGGAGUAAUGUGCUCCCUCCAGUUAAGAGCCGGAGACGUGAGAGGGAGGACUGGCCUGUCUCUAGAAAGACAGGUAUCGAGCGUUUAGGUGUGUACAUAAACGUAUGUGCUGUGUUGUUUGUCCUCAGCAGGUGUCUUUCUAUAGAGAGAGUGAAUUAAACCUUUUGUAGACAGACUGCACCUUUAGUUGAUGUUUAACUUCUUUAUUUUCUUCCACCUUUUGAGUCACUAACCAGGUUACACUCAGAUUUCUGUUUGGUGUGUCUUCCUCUUCUCUGUUGGAGUUUCAGAGCGUUUCCUCCUGCUCCUCUGUUUGCUGUCAUGACUCAUGAGAUCCUCUCUUUGCUUCACGGACUAAAAGUUUGUUUUCUGGCAGAGCUGACAACAAUUUCACACAUGUUAGUUAUAUAUGUAAGUCAGAUUGACUCAGCAUAUCUUAACACCGGACAUCCUGAUGCGUCUUUAUCUACUUAUCACACACAAACACACACACACGGACGCAGAAACACUCAUGAGCUGAAGAAAGUGAAAGCAAACAACUUUUUCUUCAGAGAGCGAGCUUGAAUUAUCCUCCUGUACUGAUAGGCUCAGGAUACACAUGUUUUUAUUGGCCCUGUGCAAAUAUUCACAGGCUAAGUGUUUCCAGAUGGCAGUUUGUGGAGGGCACAUAUAUCAUUCAGUGAGGGGGGAGGAGAGAGAGAGGGAGAGAGAGAGAGAGAGUCUGUCAAAAGCAUUCUGCUCUCCUGACGAGGGCAUUUCCUGUCUGGAUUUGGGAGGAUUAAGUAUUUGUGCGUGGGGGGUGUUUGUACGGCCGGCAUGUGCGGAGAGGGACAAGACUCCACUGAACUUUUCAGUGCGCAUGUUUGAUUUGAAUGAGGGAAAACGGAAAACCUAUAAAUCAAAAUAAAACAUGAUUUAUCGUCUGCUUGUGCGAGUUAAUCCUGCCUGAUAGUUUUCUGGUUUUGCCUCCUUUUUGAGGUUUGCUUUAAGCUCCGACAGCUCGACAAUAUCCCUCAUGAAACAAUCCAAAACGAAUUGUUUUGAUAUUAUUGCAAAAAUGAAACAUGUAGAGUUUGUGUUGAAGUUUUUACGACAGACGGUUAUUGUUCAGGAGAGUCUGGGGGGCUGUAAAAAAAGCUUAAAGCAGCUUCAAUGUUCUCAAUUCUGUGUGGGUGUUUUCUGUGGAAUAAAUAAGAAGUCUCACACAGAAACACCCCCCCACACACACACACACACGCCAGAGCUCUUUAAAAGUCUGUGUGUGUUUCCUCCUCUCUUUGAGUACAGCCUGUGUAAAUUCAAGUCCUAUUUGUCAAGUCUUUUAGGGAUAAAGACGAACAAUUACGGAGAUGAAAAAGUGCAGGAAAUAUUUACAUGCUGAUUUCAAUAAACUUUGCGCUCCUCUCUGCAGCUGGCUGGGUGAGUACACCCUCCACUUACUGAUUAGCAGGGGUGUUGCUCCAGAUUCUGGGGCCCCUGGAAAGAUAAGAGUGUGGGCCCCACCACCACAGUCCAAAAAUAACCCAACACAGGUUUUUACGUCACUAAAAUGAACCAGGACUGUAACUUUGUGUUGCAUCGUGGGUGGUUAGGUAACAAAAGAGACAAUGGGAUGUUUGCUUGGAUAUUUAUUUAUUUUCAAAAGUGUUUUCUUUGGAAAUUUGUGUCUUUAUUUGUCAGGACAGCAGAGGAAAGGCAGGGAAAUUACAUUCAUAAAACAGAGUGAUAUCUAUAGUGAUGCCUGUCAAUGAUAUUUAAAAGCAAAUGAAACCAUCAGUGAUUUAAAAUUGAUUAAUCGCGCAGCCCUAUUUUGAAGUCACUACUCAAGCAUGUGGAGGACAAGAUAAGAAAAGACAGUUUUGUCCACAGGGGGCGCCAAAGUUGACACAGACCACUCACAGCUCUGUCCACUGCCCUAUCUUUAAAUGAAAGCUGAAAAAGACUUUUGUAAAUAUUUAUUAUCUUGUUAUCUUGAUAACUUUCUGCCUACUUGAGAUCGCCACGGCUGGUGUUAGCUUUUUGAACUAUGUGAAUAAUGCUCAUGGUUUUUGUUAAACUGGUGAAAAACAAAUAUCACCUAAUUUGCUCUUUUCUCUCCUUCUCCAUCCUCUCUAUCUUUUUUUGUCAUCCUGAUUUUGCUCACAUUCAAAAGUCAUUCUGUCACAACCGAGCUGUGUAAAAAGUAACACCCACGGCUACAUUUUCAGGCUGAAAAGUGCUGACAUGAUGGGGGGUUUUUUGAGCUGCGAACCACAAAGCUACUCUUGAGGUGUCCCAGACGGC